rnacentral:rRNA from 1 species
UACAGAGGUCCCAAGCGUUGUUCGGAUUCACUGGGCGUAAAGGGUGCGUAGGUGGUGGGGUAAGUCGGAUGUGAAAGCUCGGAGCUCAACUCCGAAAUGGCAUUGGAAACUACCCUGCUAGAGGAUUGGAGGGGGACUGGAAUACUUGGUGUAGCAGUGAAAUGCGUAGAUAUCAAGUGGAACACCAGUGGCGAAGGCGAGUCCCUGGACAAUACCUGACACUGAGGCACGAAAGCUAGGGGAGCAAACAGG